GGCGCAUCCCAAUUGUUUAUUCUUUUUUUUUCAAUCCUUCCAUUCCGCAGUAAGCAUCCACUGUCCCUACCUGACCCACACCGCAGACCCCAUCCGAUCGCAUGUUGCAGAUAUUCUGAAAAAAAAAUCACACCCAGAACGAUCGCAUAUAGGUCCAUCUCAGUAAACGUUUCAAGCCCAUUAAAAAAGCUAUGAUCCCCCAAACAUUAGUCCGCAGCUUUCUUUUUUACCUGGGCCAGACCGGAGACGACGCCACAAAACGAUCAGAUAAAAACAACCGAAGAUGCGUCGCCUACUGGGCCGCCGUCUUCCUCAAACCUUCCCCGUGAAUAUCCCAUUUACACUCCCUUUUCCUUUAACCUCGACAGCUUUGCGACAACUUGUGUACCUUUUUUUUUCAUGCAGAAGGCAGGAAACACAUAAACAUACAUGCAAACAAGGCCAGACUAAAUGAAACCAAAACAUCGAGCGCACCGCCCACGAACUGCCCAAGCGUAG
rnacentral:lncRNA from 1 species